rnacentral:tRNA from 1 species
GGGGUUGUGGCUCAGUGGUAGAGAGCUUGCCUUGCAUGCAUGAGGCACCGAGUUCAAUCCCC